CGGCAAAAGCUCAAAUUUGAAAUCUAGCACCUUCGGUGUUCGAGUUGUAAUUUGAAGAUGGUAACCUUGGGUUUGGCUCUUGUCUAUGUUCCUUGGAACAGGACGUCAUAGAGGGUGAGAAUCCCGUCUGAUGAGAUGCCCAUUCCUAUGUAAGGUGCUAUCGAAGAGUCGAGUUGUUUGGGAAUGCAGCUCUAAGUGGGUGGUAAAUUCCAUCUAAAGCUAAAUAUUGGCGAGAGACCGAUAGCGAACAAGUACAGUGAUGGAAAGAUGAAAAGAACUUUGAAAAGAGAGUGAAAAAGUACGUGAAAUUGUUGAAAGGGAAGGGCAUUAGAUCAGACUUGGUGUUUUACGAUUAUCUUCUCUUCUUGAGUUGUGCACUCGUAUUUCACUGGGCCAGCAUCGAUUCGGAUGGCAAGAUAAUGGCAGUUGAAUGUGGCUUCACUUCGGUGGAGUGUUAUAGCUUCUGCUGAUAUUGCCUGUCUGG
rnacentral:rRNA from 1 species